UAAAUACUCCCUCCGUCCCAAAAUUCUUGUCUUAGAUUUGUCUAAAUACGGAUGUAUCUAGUUACGUUUUAGUGUUAGAUACAUCCGUAUUUAUACAAAUGUAAGACAAGAAUUUUGGGAUGGAGGGAGUAUAAG
rnacentral:pre_miRNA from 1 species